rnacentral:rRNA from 1 species
AGUGAACGCUGGCGGUAGGCCUAACACAUGCAAGUCGAACGGCAGCACAGUAAGAGCUUGCUCUUACGGGUGGCGAGUGGCGGACGGGUGAGGAAUACAUCGGAAUCUACUUUUUCGUGGGGGAUAACGUAGGGAAACUUACGCUAAUACCGCAUACGACCUACGGGUGAAAGCAGGGGAUCUUCGGACCUUGCGCGAUUGAAUGAGCCGAUGUCGGAUUAGCUAGUUGGCGGGGUAAAGGCCCACCAAGGCGACGAUCCGUAGCUGGUCUGAGAGGAUGAUCAGCCACACUGGAACUGAGACACGGUCCAGACUCCUACGGGAGGCAGCAGUGGGGAAUAUUGGACAAUGGGCGAAAGCCUGAUCCAGCCACACCGCGUGGGUGAAGAAGGCCUUCGGGUUGUAAAGCCCUUUUGUUGGGAAAGAAAAGCAGCAGGUUAAUACCCCGCUGUUCUGACGGUACCCAAAGAAUAAGCACCGGCUAACUUCGUG